AUGAAGUGACACAGGCUAGCUUCUUGAUUGUUCCUCUCAGUCCGUGGCAAGCAAUUGUAAUGCCGUGCCAUUGUUCUCAAUAAUCAUGUUAUGCCUGCAGUGUUCCAGUCAUUAACUGUCUGUCAAAAGAACAGCUCUCAUCAGACAGACUAUUUCUCAUUUAAAACUUAACGCGGAGAAGCCUCAUUUCCUUCUAAAUGUCAUAAGGAAUGUUGCAGAGAAAGAAUAUUUGAAUAUCGCAGGCCCUGAGGCCUAGAGGAAGCCAGUAUGGACCUCCAGAAGAGCUUUAAAGGAAGUCACCCCUCAUUCUAGCUUGAAAAG